GAAAGGUUUUCACUUCGCAUUAUGUCAUAUAUAAUUCUGCCAGAGUUAUGUAACAGUCUAGGCCAUAGGGCAUUCACAUAAUGAAGAAGAACAGCAGACUUUAUUCAUGUUGCUCUUAUUACUGCAGCAAGACUAUCAUAGACUCGGUUAUAUUUGACUGAAACAUAAGACUUGUAUCAAAACAUGGAGAAAAGGACAAGCUGAAAAUGGUAAAUAACUAAGGUAGGAUUCUGUUGACUUGGCAUAGCAAUAGAGUCCUCUAUGCAACCCAUUAUGCUUCAUAGCCGCCUUCGAGCUCUGUCAGAAUUAUCAACAGCGUCUCAGAACUCAAGGGCUUUUCAAAGAACUCGUCAGCUCCAGCAUUUAGAAAUGCUUGUCUAUCCCUUUCACACCAGCAAGAAGUUGUGCCAACAAUCUUGGAGCGUACGCCCAUGGCACGCAUCUGCCUAGUUAUCUCAGGUCCAUCCAUGUCAGGAAGGUUAAUAUCAAUGACAAUGAGAUUGAAACUAUUGCCCAUAAGCACGUUUAUUGCAGCUGUGCCAUUGUCCACAUCUUGGGUGUCAACACCAUAGUGUUGAAGAAUUCCCUUCUGCACCAUCCUGUAAAUACUAUCUCCGUCUAAAAGAAGAGCAGUAGGCCUGUUCCUAUUCACCACAGAAUAAAAUCCAUUGCUUGGAUUUUGAGAUGGGCGUCCAAAAUGCAUCGGCCCUCUGCCACUGCUUGAGUUUCCUCCAUGUCCAGAUGAAUUAGACGAGGCAAUUGGAGGUUCCAUUGCUUGUCCAAGCUAACCAGCCUGCCGAUCUAAAUUUAAAGGGCUUCACAGAAUAAUAGGUACUCGAGUGAUUUGGUUUCCAUCCAUAGUUGAUAGUUUUUUAAAAAAUACCGAUUUCCUCAUGAUAUUGAGUCCAGUCGAAAACAGGUACCUCACCUCCCUAGCCCUCACACCGUUCCAAGCAGCGUGAUCACACUUUUAUCUGUUCUCGCUUGUGAUAUCCGAU
rnacentral:misc_RNA from 1 species